UCCGACUUACGCCGGCAGUCACCUGUGAGUCCCCGCCUUUACGCGCUGGUAACACAGGUCAAGGGUUGCGCUCGUUGCGGGACUUAACCCAACAUCUCACGACACGAGCUGACGACAACCAUGCACCACCUGUCUCCGCUGCCCCGAAGGGAAGGCACAUCUCUGCACCGGUCAGCGGGAUGUCAAGCCCUGGUAAGGUUCUUCGCGUUGCUUCGAAUUAAACCACAUGCUCCACUGCUUGUGCGGGCCCCCGUCAAUUCCUUUGAGUUUCAGUCUUGCGACCGUACUCCCCAGGCGGAGUGCUUAUUGGGUUUCCUUCGGCACUGAGAGUCUAAACCCCCAACACCUAGCACUCAUCGUUUACGGCGUGGACUAC
rnacentral:misc_RNA from 1 species